GAGUGGAAGACCUAGCAAAAUAAUGAAUCAAUAUAUCUUUAAAAUAACAAUUAUAGAUACAUCUAAUAUUAGAUUUGCAAAAAACAUUACACUUAAACCAUAUCAGUGUUGUCAAUAUCUAUCUCAUAUGACAAUUAAUUUUAAUAAAUCAUCUGCAAUUUUGAAUAAUAUAUUUGAAAAAUCAGUGCUAAUACCUGUAUCACCAUCUACUUUAUUGAAUUUGAAGAUCUUUGGACAAAACUAUCUAUAUAAUGUUGAUAAUGUUACCCUAGAAAAUGAUAAAGAAGGAUUAAAUGAAACAAAUUACUCUAAUAAACAAUAUCAAAAAAUAACAGAUAGUUUGCUGAAAAUUGAUGAUGUAAACAUUCUAAAAUCUAUCAGGAUUCCUCACAAUGAUCUAUUAGAUGCCAUCUCUAGUACAGAUGAUCUGCCAAUGGGGAAAAUAGGCGAUUCGACCCAAUUUAUUCUGCAUUACCCACAAGAAGAUUCCAGAAUAUUCGAAAAAUUUCGACAACUGAUGAAUGUGCUUAUCCCCCAAAUUCCUUCCUUUCAUCAAGAGGAAAAUAUACCAAUAUGCCAAAACGAUUAUGCAUGCAUGGAAGCAAACGGUUACUUAAAACCGAUAAGGGAAGCCAUUACCCCAUUGUUAAACGCCUCCACUAGAUCGUCCUUUCCUCAAAAUUACGAUUUUCCACGAUGCGUUUUAUUGUAUGGACCAAGCGGGGUCGGAAAAACAUCCUUAGUUAAUUGCCUGGCGCACGAUUUGAAAUCUAAACUUAAUUAUCAUUAUAUAGACUUCGAAAAAAUGGAUUCCUAUUUGAUUCCCGAUGAUGAUGACGGAUCAGUCAAUUACCGAUCCAAGCUUAAAACCUUUUUAAACAAAGUAAUCGACUGUUCGCAUACUCGAAGGCCUAGCUUAGUUUUCAUAGAUCAUAUAGACUCAAUGCUCACGGCACAAGCUAAUUCUCAUUCGCUAGAUGACAAAAAAGCUAUGAUGCCAUUAUUGAUCUCGUUCUUGGACGAUGUACAUAAGUACAAUUGCAUGGUAAUAGCGGCUACUAAUCAAAUGGAAUCUUUAGAUCUCACUCUUAGAAGGCCCGGUCGAUUCGAAUAUGAAAUAGAAAUUAGCGCUCCCAACAAUAAAGAACGUUUUGAGAUUCUAAAAUCUCUCUUAAAAGGGGAUUCAUCAUGGAAGGAUAUAAUAUGCGAUUCCGAAAUAACGAACAUAGCUAAUAUAACCCACGGUUUCACUGGCGCUGAUCUAAAAUGCUUGGUAAACCGUGCCUGUUUGGAAAAAAUGAAUCAAUGUAAUGAAUAUGACGGGGAUAAAAAAGAAAGCAUCUACAUAACACACCGCGAUAUUAUACGCACUUUAAAAUACGUUAAACCUAGCGCGAUGAAAGAAAUCAAUUUAGAUAUACCCGAAGUACAAUGGUCGGACAUAGGCGGGAUGGAAAGGGUUAAACAAGAAUUGAUAAAAGCCAUUGAAUGGCCACUCAAAUAUCCCGAAGCUAUGCAAAGAAUGGGCCUUAACCCCAGCACCGGUAUAUUGCUCCAUGGGCCACCUGGCUGUUCCAAGACUAUGAUAGCUAAAGCCCUCGCUACUCAAAGCGGCCUCAACUUCUUUUCCGUCAAGGGGCCAGAGCUGUUUAGCAAAUACGUAGGAGAUUCCGAAAAAAUGCUAAGAAAAAUUUUUAGCAAGGCCAAGACAGUAUCUCCUUCUAUCAUAUUUUUCGAUGAAAUAGAUGCCAUAGCCGUUGAAAGAUCAAAUGACAAAAAUUCCCAUGUCGGUGAUAGAGUCUUAACGCAACUUUUGACCGAAAUGGAUGGAAUUGAGAAGAUGGAAAAUGUUUUCGUCUUAGCCGCUACCAAUAGAAUCGAUAAAAUCGAUAAACUAUAUUUCAUCACGAAGAGACAUUAUGUCUAGGUCCCAAGAAGAAAGCGAUAUGCAUUGUUAGUUCUUUCCGGUGCCACCGACCUUGUCUAUUGGCAUAAAAAGUCCUUCGCCAUCAUUGCUAAAUAAGGAAAACGAUUAGCAUACCCUAUCCGCCAAUCUAAUAUAUCUCGGGAUCUAGUGGUUCAUCCAGAAUAUCGUUUUAAAAGCUUCUUAUCUAUGAUGCUAAACGAAUUAUUGGUCUUUUCAUGCAAUAAUGGCUGCCGUUUCCCAUCGAAUCAUAAAUCGCUUCCUGUGACAUAUCCGAAUAUUUUGGGUUGCACAGAUAUGAGAUGUUUCUUCAGAUUCGCUAAACAAAAAAUAUUCCCAUUGUUCUAUAAAAGAAGCACCAUCAAUAAAGCUAAAGAAGGAAUAUAGCAUAUAUUUAAACACGCCUUAUAACUACGCAGUAUCCUUACUUGAUCCUAGGAUAAAAAAUA